GUGCACCAGGCGAGAAACUUCACACUGUGCGAAAGCACGAUGAGGGAAUCCCAAGUGCUUGCACGUAAGUGUAAGCUGUUUCUCUGUUUAAAACGCAGAGAGAGUAAGGGCUGGGUAAGACGGGUGCCAGCCGCCGCGGUAAUACCUGCAGCUCAAGUGGUGACCGUUAUUAUUGGGCCUAAAACGUCCGUAGCCGGUUUAAUAAAUGCCUGGGUAAAUCGUGUAGCUUAACUAUACGAAUUCCGGGUAGACUGUUAAACUCGAGACCGGGAGAAGUUAGAGGUACUCCUGGGGUAGAGGUGAAAUUCUGUAAUCCUAGGGGGACCACCAGUGGCGAAGGCGUCUAACUAGAACGGGUCUGACGGUGAGGGACGAAGCCCUGGGGCGCAAACGGGAUUAGAUACCCGUGUAGU
rnacentral:rRNA from 1 species